rfam:Schistosoma haematobium scaffold183_14, whole genome shotgun sequence.
AUCCAGCUAACGAGUCCCAAACAGGAAGAAAUGCGCGUCCUGGAU